GCACAAGCGGUGGAGCAUGUGGUUUAAUUCGACGCAACGCGAAGAACCUUACCUGGGCUUGACAUGUUGGUGACCGCCGUGGAAACACGGUUUUCCUUCGGGACACCAUCACAGGUGGUGCAUGGCUGUCGUCAGCUCGUGUCGUGAGAUGUUGGGUUAAGUCCCGCAACGAGCGCAACCCCCGUUCCAUGUUGCCAUCAUUAAGUUGGGGACUCAUGGGAGACUGCCGGUGACAAACCGGAGGAAGGUGGGGAUGACGUCAAGUCAUCAUGCCCCUUAUGUCCAGGGCUACACACGUGCUACAUUGGCGCAUACAAAGGGCAGCAAUACCGCGAGGUGGAGCAAAUCCCAGAAAGUGCGCCUCGGUUCGGAUUGGAGGCUGAAACUCGCCUCCAUGAAGGUGGAGUUGCUAGUAAUCGCGGAUCAGCAAUGCCGCGGUGAAUACGUUCCCGGGC
rnacentral:rRNA from 1 species